rnacentral:rRNA from 1 species
AGUGAACGCUGGCGGUAGGCCUAACACAUGCAAGUCGAACGGCAGCACAGGAGAGCUUGCUCUCUGGGUGGCGAGUGGCGGACGGGUGAGGAAUACAUCGGAAUCUACUCUGUCGUGGGGGAUAACGUAGGGAAACUUACGCUAAUACCGCAUACGACCUACGGGUGAAAGCAGGGGAUCUUCGGACCUUGCGCGAUUGAAUGAGCCGAUGUCGGAUUAGCUAGUUGGCGGGGUAAAGGCCCACCAAGGCGACGAUCCGUAGCUGGUCUGAGAGGAUGAUCAGCCACACUGGAACGGAGACACGGUCCAGACUCCUACGGGAGGCAGCAGUGGGGAAUAUUGGACAAUGGGCGCAAGCCAGAUCCAGCCAUACCGCGUGGGUGAAGAAGGCCUUCGGGUUGUAAAGCCCUUUUGUUGGGAAAGAAAUCCAGCUGGCUAAUACCCGGUUGGGAUGACGGUACCCAAGGAAUAAGCACCGGCUAACUUCGUGCCAGCAGCCGCAGUAA